CUGCCUUUGUGAUUCCCAGCAGACUGAAGGCUUCCAUAUGGGAUGCUAACCUGAUGGCAGGGAUAACUGGAUGGGAUUGCAUCAGCUAUCUUGAUUAGGAGACAAUGUUAACCUUGGCCUUUAAAACUUUGUAAUUCCUGGUUCAUUGUGCUACAUGCUCAUCUUGCUAGCAAUGGACACCACAGCUGUACAUGUGGAGUGUGAGCCCUUAUUUACCUGGAUGAUGCAGUAAGGAAGACCUUAGGGCUCCUUCCAGCAGAGACAGGUACCAAGCAAGAGCCAAGACUGUUCCUAUGUAUAGUUUCUACAGUGAGCCUUAACACUGGAGAGCAUCUUGACCAUAGCCUCAAUACUGAGCUGUUACAACACUGCACCUGCAGAAAGACUUCUCCUUGGGAAUCAGUCCAACGGAGACAUUAAGCUAUGAGAACACAGGAGGAAAAGGAUCUGCAGAAUAAAGAGAAAAGAACUGAUGAGUAAUCCUAAAUAUUUAUAGAUGCGGAGUAGUCCCUUCUCUCCAAUGUUAAAGCUGAUUGGUACUGGUAUAUCUCUCUUGGUUCUUUGAUACUGUUCAAUGGCUGCCUCGGUAUUCCAAGAGCAUUCCCUGCACUUUAUGCAAGGUAAAAGGUGAAUGAAUCUGUGUAAGAAAUGAAAGAAUUAGGGGUUGUAGAUGAUUAGUCUGAUUCUUCUGUUCAAGUAAACCUCUUCUGCCCCAAGCCGGACAGUGGAGUGCAAGUCUACUUCUUCUAAAGUCACCAGCUGUCUCUUGUUCAUGUCCAUAUCACCUACCAUCUCCUCUACUCUACACCACAAUGCCGCUUAAGCUAAAGGAAUACAAAUCUCUCUUUGGGCAAAAACAGGAGAAUAUGAGAACAGUACUGGAAAAAAGUUCAAGGUAUACAUCUUUCACAGUUAUGCACCUGAAUUUGCCCUAAAUAACUGUCCUGUAUAGAACUUGUAGGGCCUAGCACUUUGAAGCCUGUUAUCUUUGGUCUGUGGUUUUUAAAAGUCUCUUUUGGAAGUUCUAUCUUUGCAUGUUAACAGCUGCAAAAUCAAUAAGCCUGGUGUCCUGGCCAAGAGUGCUCUUAAGUUUUUAUUUGGUUUAUCUGACUACACCCCUUACCAAUUUUAGCUGAAAAGAAGUUUUUCCUUUAUUUCUCACCCUAAAUUGUGAAAGCAAUUAUCUGUGCAUUUCACUGUAGAUAGGGAUGUUCCAGAGCAAACCUUAAAUAUAUCUAUUACUGUGUAAUUCACCUAUUACUUACAUAGGGGUAGACCUGUUUUGGACAUUCAUAAUAUGAAAUUGGAAAGUCUGUCUAAGAGUCUAGAUCUCAAGUCUUUUUUUCUUUUGGUGAUUUUUUUUAUUUUUUUUUUUAGCAUUUGUGUUGAUGUUGAUUUGUUACAAGACAAGGAAAUUUCCAACCCCACAGAUUUUGAACUACUGCUAUAAAUAAAUCAAUCAUCCUCUCUGAGUGCAGUAUAAGUGUGGCCUAGAAACUGUUAGCUGAAUUCAGAUCAGUGUCUUUUUUGAUGGAGCAGUGGAAGUGAUUUCGGCAGUAGUUCAAGCCAUUAAAACUCAUCCUGUAGCAGCACAGCCUGGAUUUGUGGACAGUGUCGCUCUGUCAGUCAUUUCUGGUGUGAAAAUAUCAGCCAUUCCACAAACACAGGCACAUCAGUGUGCUUCAGUUGAUGAGCUGACAAUGUGCUACCCUAUGUUUUGCUUUCUGAGCUUCCAGUUAGAAUGGACUGUGCAGCCCUACUACUUAUGAAUAUUUAAGACUCCCUGGAAAUACACUGUCCCUGUUGACAUUUGACAUAAUUGUCUUUGAAGUUACAUGGUGCAUGGAAGUAUGUAUUUCUCCAGUUAGCUGAAAUAAUAUAUUUGUUAUCCUGAAAUACCUGCUGUCUGGGCUACUGGCUGGGAAACAGUUACAUGCAAGUCUUCCGAAAGGCAGCAAAUGAUAAACAGUAGACAGGUUUACUCCUUUAUCAAAUAGGACAGAAAGAUAUUUGUGAGUUUCACUGUUAUUUGACAGUAUGGAUGAGGGCAGUGUUUGCUCUGUGCUUACCUGUGACCCAAGUAUAGAUGCUGAAAAUAAGUGUUUAGGAAAAAAAAAAAUCUGAUAGUAAACAGCAUUGACUAAGAUGGAUUAUCUGUAAGUAAAACACAAAACUAUAACAAUAACUGCUGUAGAAGUUUUUGGACCUCCAAAAUCCCUUGCUCCUAAAAGUGGUGAAAUGAAUUGAUGUAGACAUUAGAGAGAGGUUUGGAGGGAGUUUUCCAACACAAAAUUCUAACAGCCAGAAAGUGCAAAUAAUAAAUGCUUGAGAACAAACUUGCAUGUAGCUGUUUGAAAUGACUUUGAAGAGUAGUUACCUGGCAUUCCAGUCUGGAAGAAGGUUUUCAGUACAACAUAUUAAUCUGAUUAUGACCUUCAAAUAUACAGAGAGAUCAAUGAGACUAUGAAGGAUGAACCCUAUUCAAGGUUAGAUCAAGUCAUCACAUCAACAAACUGAUGAGCCAAUUAGAGUUUAGGGAGGUUUUGACUGGGUCAUCUCAUCUUGAUUAUGGUAAUGAAAUACCAGAUGUGCUUUCAGCCAUGUCUUUUACUACAAGGAUAAUAACAUCUCUUUAAAUGCAUUGCUUAGACUGAGUGGGAAAUUACAUUGGCUGUCCCUGGAAGGAGGAACAUGUGCCAAGUUCAGUACAGUAAGGCACCAUCCAUUAGACAGGCAAGCAGAAAAAUUGUAUGCAUGUACUUAAGGAGUAUUAUGUGCUACCAUACAGUAUGCCAGUGAAGUGUGCUGUUGGAUUUAGCUAUUAUUUACAAGUCUAAUUCCCUUUUGGUUCUAUAAAAGAAACAUACCUUAAUGGCAUAGGGCUGCAUUUUUAACAUAUACCAACUGGGACUGCAUGAUGUUGAUAAAAUGUACAUACUUAAGACAGAUAAACAGCAGAUAACAUACCAUGCUGGGUUCUCCCAGGAACUGUAUCACUUGCUCUGGCUGCUUCCCAGCUGCAGUCUUUUGCUCAGUUUUGGCUCUUUGUUCCUUUUCAGAUUGACCUUUCUGUAACCAAAUAGAAUAUCUGAGAUAUUUACAACUUGAAGAAUGUGACCACAGUAAACCCUUAGUAUAGUAUGGGGGAGGCAGUCAAGGAAGAAGCAAGAUUCUCCUUUCUAUUAAUAAUAGAUCAAAAUGGUUUGGAGCUAUUGGAUUAGGGCACUGAUCUUGAUGAGUUAAGCAAAAUUAGUCAGGUCUGUAGCUAAAUGUGCCUUCAACAGGCAAGUCAGACUAAAGGAAACAGUACUGGAUCCUCUUUUCUUUGAUUAUUUCAUAGCCUCAACAUUUCCUGCUCUAAAACCACGAUGCACAGAGGCCUGUGCUAUCUGAAUAGGCAAAAUAUUCAGGGAAGAGGGAAGUGUGUUUUAAAGAUGGACAAGCUCACACCUCCUAUGUGCACGUGGGUCAUAUAACAUUUUGAGAUAAAACCUGCCCCAUAAAUGGAAUUUACUAUUGUGUUAAAAUUUGGUUAAAGAGUAAAAGUCUCUGGAAUUCAUUUUAGGUAUCUGUUGAAAGCACUUGGCUAAUGUAUUUCAAAAUUUCAUUGUGGCAUGACAUCUAGUUUUUGAUUCUCAGGAAAAAAAAUCUAAUACUCAAAUAGCCCUGCCAUACAUGGCCAUGUGUAUAUAAUGCUUCUGAGCAUGUAAUUCUCUCUGGCUAGACUAUAAUCCAUCCUCUCUUCAAAAUCUUUAAUAAGAAAUGCCACCUAAUGUGUGUAACUUUAUCUUUUUUACUUAUGCUGAGUCAGUGUCUUCCAGGGCAGCUUCUCAUUCAACCAGACUGAAUAGCUGCAGUUCAGAUUGUGGUGCUGGUAGUUAAUGGCAACUGGUCAGUUAAUAGCAUCGCUGUGCCUACACUAAAUGGGUAUAAAUGAACUGCCAUUUCAGUGUAUGCUCAUGUGUGUUUGAAAUAACUAGUCCUUGAAUGUGUCUCAGUCAUAUGCAGUCAUUCUUUUUACUUGUGCUGAUAACUACCGUGUGACCUGUUCUUAUCUUAACAGUAUGAACAAUACAUAUUCGUUGGAAUUUCACAGUUCCUUGAAAUAAAUAUGCCAGUAAACUAUC